rnacentral:rRNA from 1 species
UACAUGUGGGGCAAGCGUUGUUCGGAAUUACUGGGCAUAAAGGGUGCGUAGGUGGUUUGUUAAGUCACGGGUGAAAGUUUUCGGCCCAACCGGAAAAUUGCCCGUGAUACUGGCGAACUUGAGUGCGUGAGGGGUUACCGGAACGAGCAGUGUAGCGGUGAAAUGCGUAGAUAUCAGGAGGAACACCUGUGGUGUAGACAGCUUACUGGACCACUUCUGACGCUGAGACACGAAAGCGUGGGUAGCAAACAGG